rnacentral:rRNA from 1 species
CAGCCGCCGCGGGAAUACGAAGGGUGCAAGCGUUAAUCGGAAUUACUGGGCGUAAAGCGCGCGUAGGUGGUUUGGUAAGAUGGAUGUGAAAUCCCCGGGCUCAACCUGGGAACUGCAUCCAUAACUGCCUGACUAGAGUACGGUAGAGGGUGGUGGAAUUUCCUGUGUAGCGGUGAAAUGCGUAGAUAUAGGAAGGAACACCAGUGGCGAAGGCGACCACCUGGACUGAUACUGACACUGAGGUGCGAAAGCGUGGGGAGCAAACAGGAUUAGAUACCCCCGUAGUCCCUGUCUCUUAUAC